rnacentral:misc_RNA from 1 species
UCUCCGUAGGUGAACCUGCGGAGGGAUCAUUACCAGAGAUGGCGGGCCUCCGUGCCCCCGUCCCCAACCCAUUGUUGACCAAAACCUUUUUGCCUCGGGGGCAGAGCGUCCGCCGCCGCCCCCGGAGGACCACCGAACGCUGUCUCUAUACGUCGGAGUAUUGAUUAAAUGAAUGAAAACUUUCAGCAACGGAUCUCUUGGUUCUG